rnacentral:rRNA from 1 species
AGAGUUUGAUCCUGGCUCAGGACGAACGCUGGCGGCGUGCUUAACACAUGCAAGUCGAACGGAAAGGCCCUGCUUGCAGGGUACUCGAGUGGCGAACGGGUGAGUAACACGUGGGUGAUCUGCCCUGCACUUCGGGAUAAGCUUGGGAAACUGGGUCUAAUACCGGAUAGGAACCAUCUUUAGUGUGGUGGUUGGAAAGUUUUUUCGGUGGUAGGAUGAGCUCGCGGCCUAUCAGCUUGUUGGUGGGGUAAUGGCCUACCAAGGCGGCGACGGGUAGCCGGCCUGAGAGGGUGUACGGCCACAUUGGGACUGAKAUACGGCCCAGACUCCUACGGGAGGCAGCAGUGGGGAAUAUUGCACAAUGGGCGCAAGCCUGAUGCAGCGACGCCGCGUGGGGGAUGAAGGCCUUCGGGUUGUAAACUCCUUUCGCUAGGGACGAAGCUUUUUUGUGACGGUACCUAGAUAAGAAGCACCGGCUAAGUACGUGCCAGCAGCCGCGGUAAUACGUAGGGUGCGAGCGUUGUCCGGAAUUACUGCGCGUAAAGGGCUCGUAGGUGGUUUGUCACGUCGUCUGUGAAAUUCUGGGGCUUAACUCCCGGCGUGCAUGCGAUACGGGCAUAACUUGAGUGCUGUA